AUAGCUCAGGUGGUAGAGCAUCUCCCUUUUAAGGAGUGGGUCGCAGGUUCGAGUCCUGCUAAAA
rnacentral:tRNA from 1 species